rnacentral:lncRNA from 1 species
AUCAGAAACAGAUCAAUUUAACCCACUUUGCAGGCUUUCUACCGACCUCCAUGACUUUACUAACUGCAUUGCUUGGCACCCUCUAACUUUAUAAUUACAUAAAUUACAUGUUUUUGCAUUACUAAUAGGAAAUGGGCGAGAACCCAAAUUAAACUUUUCCAUGUUAGUCAUGUUAAUUUUCAAUAAGAAAAAUCAAUAUUUUUUUAUUAAGAGAGUUAUUUAAUCUCUCUCUCGUGAGCAGGUGGAAUAAUUUAGGAAGGGGUCCAUCUCUAAUGAGUUAGAACCUAGUCGGAGAUAGUUAGAAGAGAUCUGAUAAAGUCUUAUUUCAGAUAAUUCGGAAGGAAGUAUUUUGAGAAUGGAAAAGUUUUCAUACCAUACAUCAUCAUACUUAGAUUUAGGAUUUAAGAUUUUAGAAUGUCAAAAAUAAAUAUCUAAUGAUUUUUAAAAUUAAUAACUUAAGUGGUGUGGGAGCUUGGCACGUUUACAAUGUGGG